AACGAACGCUGGCGGCAGGCUUAACACAUGCAAGUCGAGCGGGCCCUUCGGGGUCAGCGGCAGACGGGUGUGUAACACGUGGGAACGUACCUUUUGGUUCGGAACAACUCCGGGAAACUGGAGCUAAUACCGGAUAAGCCCUUAGGGGGAAAGAUUUAUCGCCAAAAGAUCGGCCCGCGUCUGAUUAGCUAGUUGGUUGGGUAACGGCCCACCAAGGCGACGAUCAGUAGCUGGUCUGAGAGGAUGAUCAGCCACACUGGGACUGAGACACGGCCCAGACUCCUACGGGAGGCAGCAGUGGGGAAUAUUGGAAAAUGGGCGCAAGCCUGAUCCAGCCAUGCCGCGUGAGUGAUGAAGGCCUUAGGGUUGUAAAGCUCUUUUGUCCGGGAAGAUAAUGACUGUACCGGAAGAAUAAGCCCCGGCUAACUUCGUG
rnacentral:rRNA from 1 species